UAGUGGUGGUGGGGCUCUGGGCCCCCGUCUCCACGCCCCUUCUGGUAUUGAGCAGCCUGGCAGGGUGCGGUUACAGCUUAAUGCCAGGGACCCUCCUUGACAUCUGCUGCUGCCCGUGUUAGGGCCACGAAGGGGGGUUUGCCAAGGUAACCCGGAGUCCUGCACAUGAGCCCUGCAGGGGCCUCGGAGCAAAGGCGGGCCUCCUUUUUGGAGGUCGGGGUAGAAUGAGAUGGUUUGUUGAAAAGCAACAGUUGGCUGAGUCGGGAGGUAAGCUCGCAGGCGCGAUGCCUUGGGUUUGAUGUUGCGUUACUGCUGGUCGUAAGUGGGCUCGAGAUUCUGGUUCGUUCUCUAAAUAGACUGUAAUUACCCAAAUAGAUUCACAUUCUGUUGCAUGAUGUGAAGAUAAAAGAUCACUUCUCUCUAAUGAGAAACCAGAAUGUUUUCUCUGUUUAAAAAAAAAAGUUAAACUGCUCUUCAUCCUGUUUUGUCUUCAGACCUUUGAUAGAAGAAACUUGGGUUCUUACCAUUUAUAGCAAAUUAAAAAAGGUAGAGUUUUGGGUGAGUAAAUAUAGUUUAUGAAAGAAAUUUCAACACAUAAUGUGACUUGAAUAGAAAAGGCACAAGAACCAGAGUCUGCUCCAUAGAAGGGCUGAAAUACCUCUUCGAGGCUUUUUUUUUUCCUUUUUGUAAAAUGACUUCAAACGUACUACUUAAUUUUUUUGCCUAACACAGGGAAAGGAUUCUGAGAAGAUAAUUUCGGAAAUAGGCCUUUAGGGUGGGAGGCACGUAGGAAUAACCUUCUCAGUAGAGAGCUGGAGAUAAAUACUUGAUCAAGCCUUGUACCAACGAGUGUUAGAUUGACACCCCCCCCCAAAGCAAUACGUGGAAGGCUUCCCAACCCAAUGCUGGGUCUGUCUGACUUGGGCAAGACGUUCCUUCGUUGGGUUUGCCAAGGGAGGAACGCACAAGUUCAAGUCCAUGAAGCAAGAGAGGUUGAUGUGGGCAUCCGACGCGGAUGGACCGAGCCCGAGAUGGCGCCAGUGCCAACCGCGCGGAGAUGCUGGGCUCACAAAGGGGUCGGAGUCUAGGGUGGGAACUUGGGGCAGGAAAAAUGAAGGAGGAGGGGACGGUUAUGCCAUUCAGGGGAGGGCUAGGGGACUGGGUCCCAGGCCAGAGGGCAGUUACUCUGUGCGGGUGGCUGCUCUGGGCAGGCACUUGUUUUCUGCAGCCCGUUGUUUCUCGCGGCCACAUUCUGGGGGGAGGCGGGGGAGGUUUUCUGUCGUCGCCCCCCCUGGGAACCUAUCACUCUCCGGUUGGAAAUGGGUAGAAAUCCUGGAUAAGUGACCAUAAAAGGGGUAUGGUAAUCCCUAAUCCCGCUAAAGGAGAGUCGAAAGGUGACAGAAAUGAGAGAAAUCAAGGCCAGAAGAGCUGAGGGGUGGUGAGACCCACAGGUGGGCUUCGGGGCUGGAAGCCGCAGGUUCCCAGCCCAUGUUGGGCGGAAGAGAUGGGCUGUGUUGGCUGGAGCAGACCUUCCAGAGUCGGUGCUGGAGGCUCCAAGGCCACUGCCCCAUAAAACCCGCUCCACCUCCCAGUCUGGGGAAGUAGCGAGAAAGUGAGGCCCUUGGCUGGGGGGGACAGUCCCCCCAGGCUUGUACACAGACGUACAUGUACACGAUCGAUGGUCGUUCAGCGUGAGGAGACUCGGGCAAGAAAUGAACGUCAAAAAUUGCUCUAGAAGGUGUGAAAGCUCUGGGGCCACAGCAUCAACACUCCUCUGUGCAGGUGGCUUUAGAGGUGAAGGUAGGCAGCACUUCCACCUGGGACAUGAGAGCGACACACCGUGAGGGAGCGUCCGUACCUACCCUUGGAAGAAGGCUGUUCUCACUUCCUGGAGGAGAGCCCCCCAGACACUCGCUUUCGGCCGCUGAUUCCUGCAUUUCUGUCAGCCGCCUGCACCUCUGCCGUUCACUCUAGACGGCCCUCCUUUCCUCAGUACCUUCUGGAGACCUCCACUGGGGCGUCUGAUGACAAUUUCAGAUCUGACGUGCACGAUGGCCCGCCUCCAGGUUGGCCCUGAAGAACCCAGCUCCCGCGUCCACACAGUGAAAUGUGCCCCCUGGGUUAGCGGGGAUCAGGUUGGGGGGGUCCCUUGUUAUGCAGCAGUGAAUAAUGAAUACAGAACAUCCGGAACGAACCCCCGUGUUCCCCAAGCCUUCUCCUCCUGCAGGCUUUCCUGUUCCUCUGAGUGGUGGCUCCGUCGCUCCAACAGCUCAGGCUGGAAGCUUGGGAGCCUCUGGCCUGCAUUGCUCACAUCUCGCAGCCUGCUUUCCAGCGGGCUCCCUGUUGGCUCUGUCUUGACAGGAAGUGGACACCCUGCCCGCGCUCACCGUGCCCGUGGAUACCGUUGUGGUCUGCUCUCUGGACUGGGUUAUCCCAGUAGCUCCUGUUUCUCGCCCGGAUGCUGACCUUGGCUGGUUUCAGUCGCAUCACAAUGAAGCAGCCGGAGGGAUCUUGUCACUGUGGAAAUCAAGUCCUGUCACCCUUGUGAUCAGAUGUCUCUGGCUUCCAGGAUCUCGUCGGACCAAAGCCAAGGCCUCCAUGGGGCUCUGCUGCCCGUUGUUAAUGCCCUUCCUCUGACCUCGUCUUGCGCCUCCCUCCGACUUGCUGUCCUCCUCCCGCCCCGGUGUCGUCGUUUUUACUCCAACAGGCGAGGGAUGAGCCUGUGUUGAGACAUGAGAGUCAUGGCCCCUCUCCUGGGAAUAACGUUGUCGUCAGUGGCCGCAGGCUUUGCUCGCUUGUUCUGCCCUGUGCAAGUCUCUUGUAGGACAGCUCUGUGCAAACUGCUGCCUCCGCCCCGUGCCCCACCUUUCCUGCUUGGUUUUCUCCCUAGUUUUAUCAUCUGACACAUGGUAUGUCACAUGUUUUAGAUCUUGUCUUGACCAGAAUGCAAGCCCCAUGAAGACAGGGGACUUUGUCUCGUCUGUUCACGGAUUAGUUUCAAGUCCCAAGAAUAAUGUCUGGUGUCUCCUGUAGUUUUCUUGUGCUUUGCAGAUCCUGGGUUUUUUACACAUGGAUGGUUUGUGGCAAUCCUGCUUGAGCGAGUCUGUUGGGGCUAUUUUUCCGACAGCGUUUUGGUCUUUGUGUCACAUUUUGGUAACCCUUGCAGUGUGCCAAACUAUAUGAUAUUUGUUAUGGUGAUGAGCGAUCUUGGAUGUUACCACCGGGACUUGCGGAAGGCUCAGGUGAUGGUUAGCAUUUUUUGGCAAUAUUUUAAAAUUAAGGUAUAUUCUUGUUUAUUUACUCUGUCUUGUUGCCUUUUCUAGGGCCGUUCCCACGGCGCAUGGAGGUUCCCAGGCUAGGGGUUGAAUCAGAGCUGUAGCCACCAGCCUACACCACAGCAACGCGGGAUCUCAGCUGUGUCUGCGACCUACGCCACAGCUCACAGCAACGCUGGAUCCUCAACCCACUGAGCGAGGCCAGGGACCGAACCUGCAACCUCAUGGUUCCUAGUCGGAUUAGUUGAGCACUGCACCAUGCCGGGAACUCCUCUUUGUUUUGUAGACGUGAUGCCGUUGCACACUUGAGACUAUAGUGUGAGCACCACUUCCAUAAGCACGGGGAAACCCAAACAGUCAUUAACCCGCUUUACCGUAACGCUUGAUGGCAGUGGUCUGGAACGGAACGCGCAGCAUCUCUGAGGUAUGCCUGCAGGCACGCAAAUGUUUUUUGAAAAAGGAAAUACUUUAAAUGGAAGUAAUGUCAUGAUGUUUGUAAAAGAGGAAAGUCUGAAAGGUCAUAAGAUAUUUAAAAAUUUUUUUUUCUUUAUGGUUGCACCUGGGGCUUAUGGAAGUUCCCAGGCCAGGGACUGAAUUUGAGACACAGCCGCAGCAGCGCCCAUCUUUAAUCCACGACACCAGGCUGGGGAUUGAACCCAUGCCUCUGCAGCGACCUGAGCCACUGCAGUCAGAGUCUUAACCCACUGCACCAUACAACUCCCAUAAAAUAUUUUUUUAAUUCAAAAGAGAAGUAUGAAAAAGCACUGUUAAAAUCAAUCAGGCUUGAGAACCAAUUGAAUAUCACCUUAAGAAAUGAAAAACAUAGAAACUAAACUAAAAUUUAAAUAAAACAGAAGUUCCCAUCCUGGCUCCGUGGUUAAUGAAUCCAACUAGGAACCAUGAGGACGCGGGUUUGAUCCCUGGCCUCGUUUAGUGGGUUAAGGAUCUGGUGUUGCCAUGAGCUGUGGUGUAGGUCACAAAUGUGGCUUGGAUCCCACGUUACUGUGGCUGUGGUGUAGGUUGGUGGCUACAGCUCUGAUUCGACCCUCCAUGUGCCAGGGUUGUGGCCUUAAAUUUUUUUUUUUUUUGGUCUUAAGUAAAACAGAUCAUGAGGGAAUCAGGUAUAUUUAGAAGACAGAUCUUAGGACACUCCGAGUGAGACACAGAGAUAUGAGAUUACAAAAUAGAAGUUGAGAUCUAGAAUGAGAAGUCCUGGCGUGCAUUGAAUUAGGCAUGCUAGAGGGAGGAAGUAGUGACAGUGGAGGGAGGCAGUAUUCAGAGACAGGGGAGAUGGAAAUCAACUGUACUUGGUUCUGCUAUUGAUUUUUUUAAAAAAAAUCAUUGUCCAGAUUUGAAACAAAUCUUUGAACUAACAGAGUAAGAGUCCCAAGCAGGAGUGAACAUUAAUCUACACUUCAACACAUUGAGGUGAAACUGUGAGACACUGGGAAGAGAAACAUCCUGAAUACAGUGAGCAUAAAAGACCAAAGCAUGACUUUGAAACUGACAACAGACUCUGUGAGUAAGGUUAUAUGUCAGGAUACAGUGUAACCUGCUGUUUGGCAGCUAAUGGAAACAGCCAUUGUCCUGGAAUUCUAUACCCAGCUAAAAGUUUCAUUCAACACAGGGGGCAAAUACUUUCCAAAGAACCUUUGCUGACUUAACUACUCAAGUGAGUACCUCAGCAAGGGGAAAAUUCAGCACAGAGCGUUGGAGAAGGCUUGGAGUUAGUGUUAUAAAACAGAUGGAACAACUGGAUAAAAUUGUCGUCUAAACUCAUUUGGAGGAGAGAGUUAAAAAUGGAGACAUUAAAAUACUAAACAGUAAGAUGGGAGGACAGAGAUGAGAAUUGAAUGGUUCUGAGAUCUGGAGGUGAGAGAUUUUGAUGAGCUUGGGUUUUUUUUUUUUUCAUGUCAGGUAUGCAUUUUCAUACAGUGACAAGGAUGAAUUACAAUGUGUAAUUUUCAGAUGGGUGAAGGGGAAAGGCAGGAUGAGCUAAACAUAAUCCACUUAAUAGAAAUCAGGAGAGGAGAAACGUGCUGGAAAAACAGGAGGGGAAAGAACAUGUCCCAGGAAAACAACCAGGGAAACGGGGAGUUCCCGUCGUGGCGCAGUGGUUAACGAAUCUGACUAGGAACCAUGAGGUUGCGGGUUCAGUCCCUGCCCUUGCUCAGUGGGUUGACGAUCUGGUGUUGCCGUGAGCUGUGGUGUAGGUUGCAGACGCGGCUCGGAUCCCGCGUUGCUGUGGCUCUGGCGUAGGCCGGUGGCUACAGCUCCGAUUCAACCCCUAGCCUGGGAACCUCCAUAUGCCGCGGGAGCGGCCCAAGAAAUAGCAACAACAACAACAA
rnacentral:lncRNA from 1 species